GCGAGCGUUAAUNGGAAUUACUGGGCGUAAAGCGAGCNCAGACGGUUACUUAAGCAGGAUGUGAANUCCCCGGGCUCAACCUGGGAACUGCGUUNUGAACUGGGUGACUAGAGUGUGUCAGAGGGAGGUAGAAUUCCACGUGUAGCAGUGAAAUGCGUAGAGAUGUGGAGGAAUACCGAUGGCGAAGGCAGCNUCCUGGGAUAACACUGACGUUCAUGCUNGAAAGCGUGGGUAGCAAACAGGAUUAGAUACCCUGGUAGUNCACGCCCUAAACGAUGUCAAUUAGCUGUUGGGCAACUUGAUUGCUUAGUAGCGUAGCUAACGCGUGAAAUUGACCGCCUGGGGAGUACGGUCGCAAGAUUAAAACUCAAAGGAAUUGACGGGGACCCGCACAAGCGGUGGAUGAUGUGGAUUAAUUCGAUGCAACGCGAAGAACCUUACCUGGUCUUGACAUGUACGGAAUCCUCCAGAGACGGAGGAGUGCCUUCGGGAGCCGUAACACAGGUGCUGCAUGGCUGUCGUCAGCUCGUGUCGUGAGAUGUUGGGUUAAGUCCCGCAACGAGCGCAACCCUUGUCAUUAGUUGCCAUCAUUUAGUUGGGCACUCUAAUGAGACUGCCGGUGACAAGCCGGAGGAAGGUGGGGAUGACGUCAAGUCCUCAUGGCCCUUAUGACCAGGGCUUCACACGUCAUACAAUGGUCGGUACAGAGGGUAGCCAAGCCGCGAGGUGGAGCCAAUCUCACAAAACCGAUNGUAGUCCGGAUUGCACUCUGCAACUCGAGUGCAUGAAGUCGGAAUCGCUAGUAAUCGCAGGUCAGCAUANUGCGGUGAAUACGUUCCCGGGUCUUGUACACACCGCCCGUCACACCAUGGGAGUGGGGGAUACCAGAAGUAGGUAGGGNAACCGCAAGGAGCCCGC
rnacentral:rRNA from 1 species